rnacentral:rRNA from 1 species
UACGUAGGGUGCAAGCGUUAAUCGGAAUUACUGGGCGUAAAGCGUGCGCAGGCGGUGAUGUAAGACAGAUGUGAAAUCCCCGGGCUCAACCUGGGAACUGCAUUGGUGACUGCAUUGCUGGAGUAUGGCAGAGGGGGGUGGAAUUCCACGUGUAGCAGUGAAAUGCGUAGAGAUGUGGAGGAACACCGAUGGCGAAGGCAGCCCCCUGGGCCAAUACUGACGCUCAUGCACGAAAGCGUGGGGAGCAAACAGG